AUGGAUGAACUUAUGAGAUUGUUUGCUACUAAGAGUGCUUCUAUGGAUCCCAAUGAUAUGCCUUUAUCUACCUUGAUUGAGAAUAAUAAUGAAUCUAUGGAUGUAAAUUUUGUUGGUAUGAAUAAUUUUGGAAACAAUGCUUAUAGAGGAAAGUUUAAUCCUAGACCGUACCCUAGUAAUUCCUCUAAUAAUUAUGGAAAUUCCUACAAUAAUUCUUAUGGUAAUUUUAAUAAAUUGCCCUCUGAUUUUGAGAAUAGCGUGAAAGAAUUUAUGAUUUGGCUAGGAACGUUGAUAGACUCUCGCUUGAUGUUGAUUCUUUGA
rnacentral:rRNA from 1 species